AUUGAACGCUGGCGGCAGGCUUAACACAUGCAAGUCGAGCGAGCGGCGGACGGGUGAGUAAUGUCUGGGAAACUGCCCGAGGGAGGGGGAUAACUACUGGAAACGGUAGCUUAUACCGCAUCCCAUUAGAUGCGCCCAGUUGGGAUUAGAUAGGCGGGGGGGUAAUGGCGCACCUAGGCGACGAUCCCUAGCUGGUCUGAGAGGAUGACCAGCCACACUGGGACUUAGACACGGUCCAGACUCCUACGGGAGGCAGCAGUGGGGAAUAUUGCACAAUGGGCGCAAGCCUGAUGCGGCCAUGCCGCGUGUAUGAAGAAGGCCUUCGGGUUGUAAAGCACUUUCAGCGAGGAGGCGUUACUCGCAGAAGAAGCACCGGCUAACUCCGUGCCAGCAGCCGCGGUAAUAC
rnacentral:rRNA from 1 species